rnacentral:ribozyme from 1 species
GGCAACUUCUAUCCCUACCUCCACGCGGUACUUGCCGGGGUACGAGUAACCUUGGGGAAGA